rnacentral:pre_miRNA from 1 species
GUGCAUUGUAGUUGCAUUGCAUGUGUCCUUGAUGUGCAAUGCACCUGCAAUGUAAUA